GACGAACGCUGGCGGCGUGCUUAACACAUGCAAGUCGAACGAUGAACCCGGAGCUUGCUCCGGUGGAUUAGUGGCGAACGGGUGAGUAACACGUGAGUAACCUGCCCUUGACUCUGGGAUAACUGCGGGAAACUGUAGCUAAUACCGGAUACGACCCUCGGCGGCAUCGCCAGGGGGUGGAAAGAAUUUCGGUCAAGGAUGGACUCGCGGCCUAUCAGCUAGUUGGUGAGGUAACGGCUCACCAAGGCGACGACGGGUGGCCGGCCUGAGAGGGUGACCGGCCACACUGGGACUGAGACACGGCCCAGACUCCUACGGGAGGCAGCAGUGGGGAAUAUUGCACAAUGGGCGCAAGCCUGAUGCAGCAACGCCGCGUGAGGGAUGACGGCCUUCGGGUUGUAAACCUCUUUUAGUAGGGAAGAAGCGAAAGUGACGGUACCCAAGGAGGAAGCCACGGCUAACUACGUGCCAGCCGCCGCCGUAAUAC
rnacentral:rRNA from 1 species